GAGAAGCUCCCUUCGGGGGGUGAGUACAGUGGCAGACGGGUGAGUAACACGUGGGCAACCUACCCCGAGGUGGGGGAUAACUCUCCGAAAGGAGGGCUAAUACCGCAUAACAUCCCGAGAUCGAUGGAUCACGGGAUCAAAGCAGGCCUCUUCUUGAAAGCUUGCGCCAUGGGAUGGGCCCGUGCCCCAUUAGCUUGUUGGUGAGGUAACGGCUCACCAAGGCCGCGAUGGGUAGCCGGCCUGAGAGGGCGAUCGGCCACACUGGAACUGAGACACGGUCCAGACUCCUACGGGAGGCAGCAGUGAGGAAUUUUGCGCAAUGGGCGAAAGCCUGACGCAGCGACGCCGCGUGGAGGAAGAAGGCCUUCGGGUCGUAAACUCCUGUCAGGAGGGACGAAUGUCGGGCGGCUGAAUAAGCCGGUCGGUUGACGGUACCUCUGGAGGAAGCCCCGGCUAACUCCGUGCCAGCAGCCGCGGUAAUACGGAGGGGGCCAGCGUUGUUCGGAAUUAUUGGGCGUAAAGGGCGCGUAGGCGGCUCUUCAAGUCAAAGGUGAAAUCCCUCGGCUCAACCGGGGAACUGCCUUUGAUACUGUCGAGCUUGAGUCCCGGAGAGGGUAGCGGAAUUCCGAGUGUAGCGGUGAAAUGCGUAGAUACUCGGAGGAACACCCGUGGCGAAGGCGGCUACCUGGACGGGUACUGACGCUGAGGCGCGAAAGCUAGGGGAGCAAACAGGAUUAGAUACCCUGGUAGUCCUAGCUGUAAACGAUGAGCACUUGGUGUUGCGGGUAUCGACCCCUGCAG
rnacentral:rRNA from 1 species